rnacentral:lncRNA from 1 species
AAUGGAAAGUAGGCUAACUUGUCGCAUCGAUCGAUGGUCACUGUAACAUCAUCAUAACUCCAUAUGUACAAUAUACCUCAUAUUGGAAGCUUAUGGUGAUAUUUCCCAUCCUUAUACAAAUAUAGGAAGUGAUUAUUACCAUCCAAACAAUUUAUUGAUAUCUCAUAGGUAAUGUCAAAACAAUACUUGUGAAUUCCAACUGAGAUGGGAUAGGACAAGCUAUAUUAGCACCACCAGGGUAAUACACAGUGCAAUCGUAGACGCUGAUUUGGUUAUUCCAUCAUCGCUAUCAUAAAUUUUAGCUUAUCUGAAAUGAAGAUGUAUUUGAGAAAUCUAAGGUUGGUAAAGGUUCUAGACAUGUUUCUCACCAAGAAGUGCCAUCCGAUAUUUCAAAUGAAGAUAAUAACAAUUGACUCUAAGUAAUGAAUAUGAUGGUUCAUUUUCAACAGUUUUAACCGUUGGAAUGUAUAAACGAUUCUCGGUCAUGCUGCCUUAGCACAGUCGAAACAUCCAGAGAACAUAUCAUCACGGAUAUUCAAAUGAUCAAUGUCAUCGAAAGGUGUAACACGAAGGUAGGUUGAGACAACAAUUUAGUUGUCAUAAGCUUUAUUCAUAACUAACAUCAAAACUAAACUAACUUUCCUCGGUUGUGAGUGAGGAAAAACAUUAUAGUCGAAAAUCGCUAACCAAUUGUCAAUAAAAUAGAUAAGACCAAAGAUAUCUCAAAAUUCACAAUACUUUGAGAGAAUUUGUACUUUCUUCUGCUACAAUCUUUUUGGAAAAAGAAAGGAAUAUCCUCUGAUGAGUUCACGUCUCCCUAGAAAAGUACCAAUUUAAUCAAAGUUAACAGUUGAGGAAUUUGAUAUAAAGCUGACUGUUG